rnacentral:rRNA from 1 species
AGUAACGCGUGAGCAAUCUGCCUUUGGAUGGGGGAUAACAACCGGAAACGGCUGCUAAUACCGCAUAAUGCAAUGGGACCGCAUGGUUCUGCUGCCAAAGAUUUAUUGUCCAAAGAUGAGCUCGCGUCUGAUUAGCCAGUUGGCGGGGUAACGGCCCACCAAAGCGACGAUCAGUAGCCGGACUGAGAGGUUGAACGGCCACAUUGGGACUGAGACACGGCCCAGACUCCUACGGAAGGCAGCAG